UUUAGAACUCAAGAUAUGGGCUGAACACUGAAAAGUAUCUGGGCUGCAGGACAUAGUUAAAUUUCUCUUUUGUUGCUAAGAUUUGAGCUUGAAAACGACAGUUUUGAAUCUUGGACUCUUCAUGAAUGUUUUAGGCCUAUGUCUUAGAUUUCCAUC
rfam:Populus trichocarpa scaffold_23_contig_83, whole genome shotgun sequence.